rnacentral:lncRNA from 1 species
UUAGUUUCCUUCCUCCUAUGACAGUGUCAAGCCUGUGACUGUGUUUCAGGGAAGACAGGUGCAAGCUGAUGGCUCCCCAUAUCUAGAAGCUGCUGAUUUGAAAAACACUCUAGUCAAGAAAAAUGUAGCUUUCUAUUAGCAAAGCAGCCACACAGACCAUCCAUACUCUCAGAGAAGAGCUAAUUUUCUGGCUGUGGUCACAGGCAAUCAAAACUAUCAUAUUGAUCCUCAAGAGCGAUUCCUAAUUAGCUACAGAGUAAUCUCCUAGAUUUCCCCAAGGCCAGAGUGCCUGACCGUGGCAUUAGUGGGCUGGACAGAACCACUAGCCCUGACCCCAGGCCCCUGUGCCACGUACCACGGAGGAAUUGGACCAGGAUGAGUAAACACUCUGGGAACUUCUGUGCACACACGACAAGCUGCAGACAAAACUCCUCAGACACGGAGUCAAAGAAGGAAGAGGUUUAUUCGGCCGGGAGCAUCGGCAGGACUCCUGUCUCAAGAGCCAAGCUCCCCAGACCCACUAAUGGACUAAGUAAUGUUUCUGUUGGUGACUCUAAGCAAGGAAAACAAAUAAGGCAAAGAAGGAGGUAAAAGAGACAAGUAAGACAUCUGAGAACCUGCAAUGACUCUUGGGAAGACAUCAAAGCAGAAAAAGAAAGAAGUGGCAAGUGACAAAAGAGGUGCAAUGUUUUAAAUGUUUGCCCCCUGCAAAACUCAUGUUGAAAUUUAAUUCUGCCCUCAUGGAUGGAUUUAUGCAUUAUGUUGGGAGGGAUUUUAUGAUAUUGGGAGUGGGUUUGACCCCUCUUACUCUCUCUCACCCUUCUGCCUUCCACCAUGAGACAAUGCAGAAGGAAGACACCAACCAGAUGCCAGACCCUCAUCUUAAACUUCCCAGCUUCCAAAACUGUGAGGAAAUAAAUGUCCAUUCUUUAUAAAUUACCUAUUUUGUGGUAUCCUGUUAUAUAGCUGCACAAACAGACUGAGACAGGAGGUAUAUGUCAGGGUGCAGUAGAGAACCAUUCACUGCAUUAGGGGGUUCCCUUCCAUGGCACUUUUUGCCUGCUUUAUUAAUUUAAUACAAAGAGAUCAGGCACCAAUUACAGGCAAGACCCACUAGUAAUCUUCAGCAGUGGGAUACAGAAAUGAACAAGAUGUAUGGUUUCUGCUUUCAAAUUGCAUACAGUUCAGUUGGGGCUAAAUUAUAGACACAAAUACUAAUAUUAUAAGUUAGAUUUUACUACAUUCACCAUAGAGGUAGGUUUUAGAAUUUCAAAGGAGAGGUUCUUAGCCAGGGGUGGGAAAUUUUAUGGAGGAGCUGGAUUUUGACAAUUUUAUCUAUGCUAAAUGAAUGCCCUCUUUCCGGGAACUAAGGAAUUUUACCUUUCUGGGGAUUCAUGGCAAGAAGAUACAAUCCUUGAUCUCAGAAGACAUUGUGAUACACAAUGACAGAUACGUUGAUAAUGAAAUGUAAAACUGCUUCCAGAAGCUUCUAGGUGUUAAGUUUGACCACAUCAUGCAUCUCAUUUCCACAUUGUCUUCUAUGUCUAUAUCUGGCCCCCUCCUCAACUAUCCUAAGCAUUUAGAGCAUCUCCUUUCCCUAUAAAAGCCAUCAUAGUUUAUGUUUAUGGCUAUGUGUUUUGUUUCUGCAAAUCUAAUUGUUCCUUAAGAGUAAGGAUUAUGUCUCAGAGCCUCACAGGAAGGCACAAAGGAAGAUGUCAGCAAACGCCAUAGAACUAUUAAUUACUGACAAUUCACAUGCCACACUGUUAAAUGAGGAAAGGGAGGAAGGAAGAGACCAGACCACUGAGGCAUUAAGAGAACAAGGAUCCAGCAUGGAUCAAGCAAAUCCCACCACCCUUAGCUAUGAGACCAAGUCCCAGCUCUGUCACUUGUUAGUUGUGUUGUCUUAGACAAGUCAAUUUACUUCCUAAGAAGCCCUGCCCUCUUCUAUAAUAACAUGUCUGUUGGAUUUCAUUCAUUCCCAAAUACUGAAGACAGUCUGCAACAAAAUUUUCUGGGAAAUUGUAAAAUACAGAUGAAUAAGCCCACAGAGGGUGAGCCGAAAUUUCUCUAUUUAUAAGAUCUCUGAAUGAAUCUAAUAAAGAGUGGUAUCUGCAAAUCAGAGGACUAAUGCUCAUGCUGUAAGAUUCUUCCACCUGUUACAUCAAGAACACUAACAUUUCUUAUUGUGAUGUAGAAACAGGGUGAUGGCCUUCUGAAAGCCAGCACGUAAUGACAGCAUGAAAUAUUUUACUUGUUAAUUUUUUGUUUGUCUGUUUUUCAGAUGUUUUUGACCUUCGUGGAGAAGAAGUUUGGUGGUGGGGCAGGAGCAGAAGUUAGAACUCGGGAUUUCUUUGUUCACCUUGGCUGCGAAGCCACCCAUAUAUGACCAGUGUUGAAACUCAUUGCACCAGGCCAACCAAUUAGUCUGUAUUGGCCCCAUAAACUUUGAGCUGACAAGUAUCAAGUGAAAGGUUCUUGAGAAUAAGACUGAAAAAUCCUUCUUACUUCCCCCUACAAAAAAAAUUCUCCAGCCCCAGAAUGUUAUUCCUUCCCAAGAAACACAAAUUAACUAGCUGCACUAAUGACCUCCAGACCAACACAAACCCAUUUCCCCUUGAAAUUAACCUUCUAUUCUGAAUCUAAACAGUGUCUAAUUAGCCCCAAACACUGGUGAGCUAACUGGAAGAGAAGAAUGUAGGAAAUCAAAACAAGGGGAUAGUUUUACGGUUGGAAAAAAAAAAAUAGCGAAAAGCCAUCCUCCAAUUAUCCUAUCCUUCUAACCUCCGCCCCCAGAUCCUUAUCCUGCAUCUUCAUUUGUCUUCCUUUCCGUAAACCUUGUAAAGGAGUCUGCUUUUCAGACAAAUAUUUUUCCCAGCUCAUUUGACACCUAGAAGGCAGGAAAAAUAUUGCCCAUCACGAUAAAUAUAAUAUUCCAAUUUUCCAGCAUUUGACAGCAAUCAAGGGAAGAGUAAUGUGUUCCCUCUGUGACUAAAUCAUUUAGAGACCAAGGUAUUCUGUCUCAUUCUCAUUAGGAAAAAAAAAUAUUCCAAUAAUCUCAUUAUCCCAGUGUGAAUAACAGUAAAAAAGCACCAAGACUAAUGACUUCUUCCGCGCUUGCCUCCGCAGAUACCAGCCCAGGCCGUGCUUUUAUAGGCAAUGCUUGGGUAAUGGAGUCUCCCUUAGCAGCGAUCCUGUAGCAUCUGCUGCUCUGAAAGCCCUGCCUAACACAUUCUGCUUUGUCUGCAGCAAGGUUUACACACACCCCUGGACUCCAAAGACUCUUUUUUAUGUACUUUUUAAAAAACUAACUCCAAUGGAAAAAGAAUGUGUCAUGGCAUGUUAAACUUUAUGGAAAUUCUUCUGGAGAAUAACAUAAUUUCACGGUGCAUUACUCUGAAAUGACCUAGUACUUGAACAAUUAAUUUUUAAGGUGUAGCAUUGACUUCCCCUUGCUGUAUUUAACCCAUAUCUGAAAUUGUCAACAAUGCCAAGGGUUGGACAAUGAGUUGGGAGAAGAGCAGGAGCCUGAAAAUUACUCCCUAUCUACUAUGUUUUCUUUUAUCAGACAUAAUGCUUCCCUCUUUGGUUCAAAAAUGAAAAGAGAAGGGAGCAGGUACUUUAGUUAGGGACACUUCAUAGGCAGCACAGCCUGGCAGGUAAAUAGUGCAGUCCUGGAGACAUAAACUCGACGUCUUACCUUUGUCAUUAAUUUACUGUGUAGCCUUAGAGAAACUCCUUUUUCUCUCUGUAGCUAAAAUGGGGGAAGGAGAGGUUUUGUUUGUUAUGCCCCCAAAAGGAAUUCAGUGAUAGAAAAUGAAUAGAUGUAUAAUAUAUCCUCUGAUUCCUUGAAAUAAAAGCUC